GCUCAUAAUAUAUAACGAGUUAAUAGUUGACUUCAAUGUUCCAAAAGCUUACAACUUCAAACAACAAGAAUUGCUAUUUUUUUGCUACCAACCAGACAGCAGAUCUGGUUUAUGAUCUUAGUUCGUUUCCCCUUUUGUACAAGAUAAAUGGUCCAAGAAUUUUUCUUUGUCAAGAGGUCCGGCAAUUUGCUAAUUCUAGAUCGGAAAUUUUCAGUUUUGUUUUGAUAAGAGUGAUCGCGGGCUCGGUUUGGAAAAUAUAACGAAGAAUGGAGGUGUAGAAAAAGUAAAAUUUGGAAGAAACCUAGUUGUUGGUAUGGGUGGCAUAGGAAGUAUAGCUCCCCGGAAUUGCUAUUUUUCAUUAAACUCAUUAUGUCGAUCCGUUUUCAAAGCAUAUAUAAGCUACACGACUAUGGGGAAGCAACUCGUAAUGGUAGCAAUAUAAAGUGCUUCACCACUUCCAAAAAGAGUAGAUGGCAACAUAAAUAAACUCAACUUUUUAUGGAAAAAAAGCCAAGAACCGCAACUUGAGAUCUUGGCUUGAGUUACAAGUACUAUCAAAAUCUCAAGUCACGUGCUUCCUCCAUCAUGACCAUCACCAUAUAAAAGAAAGUUGUGGUAUCUUAUGUCAAGGUUCUGUCCGUUGGAAACCAAUAUCAACGAGUAUUUAUUUACUAUGAGAAGAAAUAUUGAGGAAUUUCUAAUGAGGAUAGAAUAUGAAUAUCAUUUGUGUUAUGCAAAUGAAUUUAUCAAGAGAUAGAGACGAAUUAUUCAAAUGCUACUAUGAAUAUUAGCUGGAAUCAUGUGUAUUAGCUGAAAAUAUAUACCAGAAAUAUACUUCUU